UAAUAGUAGAUAAUUAUUUUUAUUGAACUAAAAAAAUGUUUCCUAGAAAUUAUAUACCUACAGUCCAAAACGACGUUUUCCGGGUCAGCUAGUAAUAAUAUUUAAACAAAUAUGUAAAAGUUAAUCCUAGGAUUAUCGAGUCACAACAGCUAUUAUAUAUAUGUAGCUAAUUACGAGGCAGGAGAUAAAUGCUCAAAAAGAAGAUUUAAAAAAAAAAAUUAAAGACAGCUCGUCUGAUACCAAGAGGUAAGGAGUUCCAAAGCAGAAGACUGCACAGUAAAGGAAGAGUGAUAGAAUAAAUGUAAUAUUAAGUAGAUUAAUAAAAUAAAACUGUUAUUAUUUUUUAUUGUAUUAUUAUUUAACAUAAAAGAUAUAAAGCAGUUUUGGUGUAGUGGUAUCAGCAUGUUAUUCUCAUCCUUAGGGUCGUAGGUUCGAACCCCGGCUGUUUACCAAUGUAAUUUCUGUAUAUUUUUUUAAAAAUCGCUCGUACGGUGGUGUAUAAAAUUGUAAAGAAACCGAGUUGCCAUAUACACAAAAGUCGGCGGGGUAUGUCAGGCACAGAAGGCUCAUCUACGUGCCUAUUUGAUGAACAAAACCAAGGAUCACGAAACAUACAAAAACCUGAAAAGGUUGUAGCGCCACUUAUUUUUUUAUAAAGAAUAAAUCAGAAAAAGAAGUUAUCAGCCUGUUAAUAAAGUGAAACAGUUUCGAUUGUAGUUGUACAAUAUUGAUUGAUGCAUGUAGUAAUUUAAACUCGCUAAUUGGUUAAAAAGAAACAUUGUACCAAAGAAAUAAUAAACAUACAGUUUAUUCAUAAAAACUAAAUCAAUUUAAUUUAAUCACCCUUGUUACUAAAGUACUAAUUUGUCUCUUUCUGUCAAAUUGUGGUAAAGCUGUGAUGAAAAGAGAGAUGUGUACUUUAUUCAAAACGAUGCAAUUAGAUAUUUUUUGAAUUGUCUCUUAGGACGAGUUUUAAAUAAUUUUACCAGACUGAGAUCGCGGACGAACCCUGGUCGAGCCUAUAGUGUAGAUCCAGUUAAAAUUAUCUUUUAUCUAGAAAUUCUUACUACGACUUUCGAAAAUACUUCUCACAAAAAGAGGGGUUUCUUACGUUCGCGUAAAGAAGACGACAGAGGCGUUCAGUAACUCAGUAACUUCCUAGGCGUAGGUGCGACCAGGUCUUCAGCGUAUGUGCCGAAGUCUGCCCGAGAGAGGGAACUUGAUAGAAGAUCAGAUGAUAGCGAUCAGCUUAAAUCGUGGGGAUCGGCAGAUAAUAUACAGGUACUGUCUGCGUGUUAUUGUGUUUAAAAAUUAAAUUUUGUGUACAUGUCUAAUCAAAUGAUACAGUUAUAAUAAUUUUAGUAAAAACAAAUAUUAUGUCUAGGACAUUGUCAAUACAUAAUAUUUUCUGAAACAACGCCAUCUAUGAAUGUAGUAUAUGAUUAGUUCACGUGUCUUAAAUUUCAAAAUUAAUGGUCCAAACUGGCAUCGACAACUUAGUUUAUUCGUUUUCCGCUAGAUGUCUCUAUAUCAAAUUUCUAAACUUACGUAAUAUCCAAUAGAUGUCGCGACUGUUUCUUUUAACUUCGUUUUAACACAGUAAAACUACUUAAUAUACAAAACAGUGUUUGUUCGAACACUUAUAACUCGAGAACGGUAGGAUCGAUUUGAAUGAUUUAUAGAAUAGCAGAAUAACUAUUAAAACAUUGGUUGGUUGAAGAAUAACAUACGAUUCCAUCAUUUAAGGUUCAUUCCGUCGAUCCGGUAAACUCUUCCCUCAUCUGAACAUAUUUAAUUAAAGAUAGUGAUGAGAUAAUGACGUAUUUUAGAUGUAAAAAAUGUAGAAUAAUGUGAGUAAUGAAAGAUGAUCGAUAUACCUAUUUGGCUGACAAAUUUUGUAAUGUUGAGAAGCGCAAUUUGGUGAUAGGGAUUCGGCUUUCAACUAUUACGUCACGCAAUUUUUGGAGAUAAUUGAGCAACGAGCCGUAACGUUUUACUAUACCCAAGUGUAUAAUAAUUGUGUAAAUAUUAUUAUUCAGGCAGAAUACAGAUGUUAAUGAUAAUUGUCAUCAGACACUAUCAGCAUGUGGCAAACACAAACAUGUCAUGUAUUGAAACGUGUAUCGUGUUAUGGUGGGUGGCCAGGUAAGCGGUUAUUAAAAUAAGACGACAUUACUGUUAUUCAUAAACAUAUGUUCAGCCAUGACAGGCGGUCCGAGACAUACUACAGGAAACGGAAACCCAUAGAUAAUAUUAAAUCAUAGAUACGUAACAUCUCCCUUAUUAAGAAAAGAAAACAUGGCAUGAAGUGGAACAUAGUACGUACGUAAGUAUACACUUUUGUUUUUUUUUACAUUGACAAAAUUCUUACAUACUAUUAGACUGAAAUAAUGGUACGGAACAUUGACUUGACUGACAUUUUCAAUUUUGACAGUUCUCACAUUGACGUCUACUAAAUUGACAUAACUGUGUUUUGACAGCUACACAAAACAAAAUUAGGUUAAAGACAUUAAACAAUACAUUUACAAACUAAGUACAAAUUAUGAACUUAAUCUAGAUUCUAGACUAAUUACCAAAAUCUUCGGGGCUUUAUGAUAGCUCUGCCGAAUGAAGAAUAAGUUGUGUGAAAAAGAGGGGUUUCUUACGUUCGCGUAAAGAAGACGACAGAGGCGUUCAGUAACUCAGUAACUUCCUAGGCGUAGGUGCGACCAGGUCUUCAGCGUAUGUGCCGAAGUCUGCCCGAGAGAGGGAACUUGAUAGAAGAUCAGAUGAUAGCGAUCAGCUUAAAUCGUGGGGAUCGGCAGAUAAUAUACAGGUACUGUCUGCGUGUUAUUGUGUUUAAAAAUUAAAUUUUGUGUACAUGUCUAAUCAAAUGAUACAGUUAUAAUAAUUUUAGUAAAAACAAAUAUUAUGUCUAGGACAUUGUCAAUACAUAAUAUUUUCUGAAACAACGCCAUCUAUGAAUGUAGUAUAUAAUUAGUUCACGUGUCUUAAAUUUCAAAAUUAAUGGUCCAAACUGGCAUCGACAACUUAGUUUAUUCGUUUUCCGCCAGAUGUCUCUAUAUCAAAUUUCUAAACUUACGUAAUAUCCAAUAGAUGUCGCGACUGUUUCUUUUAACUUCGUUUUAACACAGUAAAACUACUUAAUAUACAAAACAGUGUUUGUUCGAACACUUAUAACUCGAGAACGGUAGGAUCGAUUUGAAUGAUUUAUAGAAUAGCAGAAUAACUAUUAAAACAUUGGUUGGUUGAAGAAUAACAUACGAUUCCAUCAUUUAAGGUUCAUUCCGUCGAUCCGGUAAACUCUUCCCUCAUCUGAACAUAUUUAAUUAAAGAUAGUGAUGAGAUAAUGACGUAUUUUAGAUGUAAAAAAUGUAGAAUAAUGUGAGUAAUGAAAGAUGAUCGAUAUACCUAUUUGGCUGACAAAUUUUGUAAUGUUGAGAAGCGCAAUUUGGUGAUAGGGAUUCGGCUUUCAACUAUUACGUCACGCAAUUUUUGGAGAUAAUUGAGCAACGCGCCGUAACGUUUUACUAUACCCAAGUGUAUAAUAAUUGUGUAAAUAUUAUUAUUCAGGCAGAAUGCAGAUGUUAAUGAUAAUUGUCAUCAGACACUAUCAGCAUGUGGCAAACACAAACAUGUCAUGUAUUGAAACGUGUAUCGUGUUAUGGUGGGUGGCCAGGUAAGCGGUUAUUAAAAUAAGACGACAUUACUGUUAUUCAUAAACAUAUAUUCAGCCAUGACAGGCGGUCCGAGACAUACUACAGGAAACGGAAACCCAUAGAUACGUAACAUCUCCCUUAUUAAGAAAAGAAAACAUGGCAUGAAGUGGAACAUAGUACGUACGUAAGUAUACACUUUUGUUUUUUUUUACAUUGACAAAAUUCUUACAUACUAUUAGACUGAAAUAAUGGUACGGAACAUUGACUUGACUGACAUUUUCAAUUUUGACAGUUCUCACAUUGACGUCUACUAAAUUGACAUAACUGUGUUUUGACAGCUACACAAAACAAAAUUAGGUUAAAGACAUUAAACAAUACAUUUACAAACUAAGUACAAAUUAUGAACUUAAUCUAGAUUCUAGACUAAUUACCAAAAUCUUCGGGGCUUUAUGAUAGCUCUGCCGAAUGAAGAAUAAGUUGUGUGAAAAAGAGGGGUUUCUUACGUUCGCGUAAAGAAGACGACAGAGGCGUUCAGUAACUCAGUAACUUCCUAGGCGUAGGUGCGACCAGGUCUUCAGCGUAUGUGCCGAAGUCUGCCCGAGAGAGGGAACUUGAUAGAAGAUCAGAUGAUAGCGAUCAGCUUAAAUCGUGGGGAUCGGCAGAUAAUAUACAGGUACUGUCUGCGUGUUAUUGUGUUUAAAAAUUAAAUUUUGUGUACAUGUCUAAUCAAAUGAUACAGUUAUAAUAAUUUUAGUAAAAACAAAUAUUAUGUCUAGGACAUUGUCAAUACAUAAUAUUUUCUGAAACAACGCCAUCUAUGAAUGUAGUAUAUGAUUAGUUCACGUGUCUUAAAUUUCAAAAUUAAUGGUCCAAACUGGCAUCGACAACUUAGUUUAUUCGUUUUCCGCUAGAUGUCUCUAUAUCAAAUUUCUAAACUUACGUAAUAUCCAAUAGAUGUCGCGACUGUUUCUUUUAACUUCGUUUUAACACAGUAAAACUACUUAAUAUACAAAACAGUGUUUGUUCGAACACUUAUAACUCGAGAACGGUAGGAUCGAUUUGAAUGAUUUAUAGAAUAGCAGAAUAACUAUUAAAACAUUGGUUGGUUGAAGAAUAACAUACGAUUCCAUCAUUUAAGGUUCAUUCCGUCGAUCCGGUAAACUCUUCCCUCAUCUGAACAUAUUUAAUUAAAGAUAGUGAUGAGAUAAUGACGUAUUUUAGAUGUAAAAAAUGUAGAAUAAUGUGAGUAAUGAAAGAUGAUCGAUAUACCUAUUUGGCUGACAAAUUUUGUAAUGUUGAGAAGCGCAAUUUGGUGAUAGGGAUUCGGCUUUCAACUAUUACGUCACGCAAUUUUUGGAGAUAAUUGAGCAACGAGCCGUAACGUUUUACUAUACCCAAGUGUAUAAUAAUUGUGUAAAUAUUAUUAUUCAGGCAGAAUACAGAUGUUAAUGAUAAUUGUCAUCAGACACUAUCAGCAUGUGGCAAACACAAACAUGUCAUGUAUUGAAACGUGUAUCGUGUUAUGGUGGGUGGCCAGGUAAGCGGUUAUUAAAAUAAGACGACAUUACUGUUAUUCAUAAACAUAUGUUCAGCCAUGACAGGCGGUCCGAGACAUACUACAGGAAACGGAAACCCAUAGAUAAUAUUAAAUCAUAGAUACGUAACAUCUCCCUUAUUAAGAAAAGAAAACAUGGCAUGAAGUGGAACAUAGUACGUACGUAAGUAUACACUUUUGUUUUUUUUUACAUUGACAAAAUUCUUACAUACUAUUAGACUGAAAUAAUGGUACGGAACAUUGACUUGACUGACAUUUUCAAUUUUGACAGUUCUCACAUUGACGUCUACUAAAUUGACAUAACUGUGUUUUGACAGCUACACAAAACAAAAUUAGGUUAAAGACAUUAAACAAUACAUUUACAAACUAAGUACAAAUUAUGAACUUAAUCUAGAUUCUAGACUAAUUACCAAAAUCUUCGGGGCUUUAUGAUAGCUCUGCCGAAUGAAGAAUAAGUUGUGUGAAAAAGAGGGGUUUCUUACGUUCGCGUAAAGAAGACGACAGAGGCGUUCAGUAACUCAGUAACUUCCUAGGCGUAGGUGCGACCAGGUCUUCAGCGUAUGUGCCGAAGUCUGCCCGAGAGAGGGAACUUGAUAGAAGAUCAGAUGAUAGCGAUCAGCUUAAAUCGUGGGGAUCGGCAGAUAAUAUACAGGUACUGUCUGCGUGUUAUUGUGUUUAAAAAUUAAAUUUUGUGUACAUGUCUAAUCAAAUGAUACAGUUAUAAUAAUUUUAGUAAAAACAAAUAUUAUGUCUAGGACAUUGUCAAUACAUAAUAUUUUCUGAAACAACGCCAUCUAUGAAUGUAGUAUAUGAUUAGUUCACGUGUCUUAAAUUUCAAAAUUAAUGGUCCAAACUGGCAUCGACAACUUAGUUUAUUCGUUUUCCGCUAGAUGUCUCUAUAUCAAAUUUCUAAACUUACGUAAUAUCCAAUAGAUGUCGCGACUGUUUCUUUUAACUUCGUUUUAACACAGUAAAACUACUUAAUAUACAAAACAGUGUUUGUUCGAACACUUAUAACUCGAGAACGGUAGGAUCGAUUUGAAUGAUUUAUAGAAUAGCAGAAUAACUAUUAAAACAUUGGUUGGUUGAAGAAUAACAUACGAUUCCAUCAUUUAAGGUUCAUUCCGUCGAUCCGGUAAACUCUUCCCUCAUCUGAACAUAUUUAAUUAAAGAUAGUGAUGAGAUAAUGACGUAUUUUAGAUGUAAAAAAUGUAGAAUAAUGUGAGUAAUGAAAGAUGAUCGAUAUACCUAUUUGGCUGACAAAUUUUGUAAUGUUGAGAAGCGCAAUUUGGUGAUAGGGAUUCGGCUUUCAACUAUUACGUCACGCAAUUUUUGGAGAUAAUUGAGCAACGAGCCGUAACGUUUUACUAUACCCAAGUGUAUAAUAAUUGUGUAAAUAUUAUUAUUCAGGCAGAAUACAGAUGUUAAUGAUAAUUGUCAUCAGACACUAUCAGCAUGUGGCAAACACAAACAUGUCAUGUAUUGAAACGUGUAUCGUGUUAUGGUGGGUGGCCAGGUAAGCGGUUAUUAAAAUAAGACGACAUUACUGUUAUUCAUAAACAUAUGUUCAGCCAUGACAGGCGGUCCGAGACAUACUACAGGAAACGGAAACCCAUAGAUAAUAUUAAAUCAUAGAUACGUAACAUCUCCCUUAUUAAGAAAAGAAAACAUGGCAUGAAGUGGAACAUAGUACGUACGUAAGUAUACACUUUUGUUUUUUUUUACAUUGACAAAAUUCUUACAUACUAUUAGACUGAAAUAAUGGUACGGAACAUUGACUUGACUGACAUUUUCAAUUUUGACAGUUCUCACAUUGACGUCUACUAAAUUGACAUAACUGUGUUUUGACAGCUACACAAAACAAAAUUAGGUUAAAGACAUUAAACAAUACAUUUACAAACUAAGUACAAAUUAUGAACUUAAUCUAGAUUCUAGACUAAUUACCAAAAUCUUCGGGGCUUUAUGAUAGCUCUGCCGAAUGAAGAAUAAGUUGUGUGAAAAAGAGGGGUUUCUUACGUUCGCGUAAAGAAGACGACAGAGGCGUUCAGUAACUCAGUAACUUCCUAGGCGUAGGUGCGACCAGGUCUUCAGCGUAUGUGCCGAAGUCUGCCCGAGAGAGGGAACUUGAUAGAAGAUCAGAUGAUAGCGAUCAGCUUAAAUCGUGGGGAUCGGCAGAUAAUAUACAGGUACUGUCUGCGUGUUAUUGUGUUUAAAAAUUAAAUUUUGUGUACAUGUCUAAUCAAAUGAUACAGUUAUAAUAAUUUUAGUAAAAACAAAUAUUAUGUCUAGGACAUUGUCAAUACAUAAUAUUUUCUGAAACAACGCCAUCUAUGAAUGUAGUAUAUGAUUAGUUCACGUGUCUUAAAUUUCAAAAUUAAUGGUCCACACUGGCAUCGACAACUUAGUUUAUUCGUUUUCCGCUAGAUGUCUCUAUAUCAAAUUUCUAAACUUACGUAAUAUCCAAUAGAUGUCGCGACUGUUUCUUUUAACUUCGUUUUAACACAGUAAAACUACUUAAUAUACAAAACAGUGUUUGUUCGAACACUUAUAACUCGAGAACGGUAGGAUCGAUUUGAAUGAUUUAUAGAAUAGCAGAAUAACUAUUAAAACAUUGGUUGGUUGAAGAAUAACAUACGAUUCCAUCAUUUAAGGUUCAUUCCGUCGAUCCGGUAAACUCUUCCCUCAUCUGAACAUAUUUAAUUAAAGAUAGUGAUGAGAUAAUGACGUAUUUUAGAUGUAAAAAAUGUAGAAUAAUGUGAGUAAUGAAAGAUGAUCGAUAUACCUAUUUGGCUGACAAAUUUUGUAAUGUUGAGAAGCGCAAUUUGGUGAUAGGGAUUCGGCUUUCAACUAUUACGUCACGCAAUUUUUGGAGAUAAUUGAGCAACGCGCCGUAACGUUUUACUAUACCCAAGUGUAUAAUAAUUGUGUAAAUAUUAUUAUUCAGGCAGAAUGCAGAUGUUAAUGAUAAUUGUCAUCAGACACUAUCAGCAUGUGGCAAACACAAACAUGUCAUGUAUUGAAACGUGUAUCGUGUUAUGGUGGGUGGCCAGGUAAGCGGUUAUUAAAAUAAGACGACAUUACUGUUAUUCAUAAACAUAUAUUCAGCCAUGACAGGCGGUCCGAGACAUACUACAGGAAACGGAAACCCAUAGAUAAUAUUAAAUCAUAGAUACGUAACAUCUCCCUUAUUAAGAAAAGAAAACAUGGCAUGAAGUGGAACAUAGUACGUACGUAAGUAUACACUUUUGUUUUUUUUUACAUUGACAAAAUUCUUACAUACUAUUAGACUGAAAUAAUGGUACGGAACAUUGACUUGACUGACAUUUUCAAUUUUGACAGUUCUCACAUUGACGUCUACUAAAUUGACAUAACUGUGUUUUGACAGCUACACAAAACAAAAUUAGGUUAAAGACAUUAAACAAUACAUUUACAAACUAAGUACAAAUUAUGAACUUAAUCUAGAUUCUAGACUAAUUACCAAAAUCUUCGGGGCUUUAUGAUAGCUCUGCCGAAUGAAGAAUAAGUUGUGUGAAAAAGAGGGGUUUCUUACGUUCGCGUAAAGAAGACGACAGAGGCGUUCAGUAACUCAGUAACUUCCUAGGCGUAGGUGCGACCAGGUCUUCAGCGUAUGUGCCGAAGUCUGCCCGAGAGAGGGAACUUGAUAGAAGAUCAGAUGAUAGCGAUCAGCUUAAAUCGUGGGGAUCGGCAGAUAAUAUACAGGUACUGUCUGCGUGUUAUUGUGUUUAAAAAUUAAAUUUUGUGUACAUGUCUAAUCAAAUGAUACAGUUAUAAUAAUUUUAGUAAAAACAAAUAUUAUGUCUAGGACAUUGUCAAUACAUAAUAUUUUCUGAAACAACGCCAUCUAUGAAUGUAGUAUAUGAUUAGUUCACGUGUCUUAAAUUUCAAAAUUAAUGGUCCACACUGGCAUCGACAACUUAGUUUAUUCGUUUUCCGCUAGAUGUCUCUAUAUCAAAUUUCUAAACUUACGUAAUAUCCAAUAGAUGUCGCGACUGUUUCUUUUAACUUCGUUUUAACACAGUAAAACUACUUAAUAUACAAAACAGUGUUUGUUCGAACACUUAUAACUCGAGAACGGUAGGAUCGAUUUGAAUGAUUUAUAGAAUAGCAGAAUAACUAUUAAAACAUUGGUUGGUUGAAGAAUAACAUACGAUUCCAUCAUUUAAGGUUCAUUCCGUCGAUCCGGUAAACUCUUCCCUCAUCUGAACAUAUUUAAUUAAAGAUAGUGAUGAGAUAAUGACGUAUUUUAGAUGUAAAAAAUGUAGAAUAAUGUGAGUAAUGAAAGAUGAUCGAUAUACCUAUUUGGCUGACAAAUUUUGUAAUGUUGAGAAGCGCAAUUUGGUGAUAGGGAUUCGGCUUUCAACUAUUACGUCACGCAAUUUUUGGAGAUAAUUGAGCAACGCGCCGUAACGUUUUACUAUACCCAAGUGUAUAAUAAUUGUGUAAAUAUUAUUAUUCAGGCAGAAUGCAGAUGUUAAUGAUAAUUGUCAUCAGACACUAUCAGCAUGUGGCAAACACAAACAUGUCAUGUAUUGAAACGUGUAUCGUGUUAUGGUGGGUGGCCAGGUAAGCGGUUAUUAAAAUAAGACGACAUUACUGUUAUUCAUAAACAUAUAUUCAGCCAUGACAGGCGGUCCGAGACAUACUACAGGAAACGGAAACCCAUAGAUAAUAUUAAAUCAUAGAUACGUAACAUCUCCCUUAUUAAGAAAAGAAAACAUGGCAUGAAGUGGAACAUAGUACGUACGUAAGUAUACACUUUUGUUUUUUUAUACAUUGACAAAAUUCUUACAUACUAUUAGACUGAAAUAAUGGUACGGAACAUUGACUUGACUGACAUUUUCAAUUUUGACAGUUCUCACAUUGACGUCUACUAAAUUGACAUAACUGUGUUUUGACAGCUACACAAAACAAAAUUAGGUUAAAGACAUUAAACAAUACAUUUACAAACUAAGUACAAAUUAUGAACUUAAUCUAGAUUCUAGACUAAUUACCAAAAUCUUCGGGGCUUUAUGAUAGCUCUGCCGAAUGAAGAAUAAGUUGUGUGAAAAAGAGGGGUUUCUUACGUUCGCGUAAAGAAGACGACAGAGGCGUUCAGUAACUCAGUAACUUCCUAGGCGUAGGUGCGACCAGGUCUUCAGCGUAUGUGCCGAAGUCUGCCCGAGAGAGGGAACUUGAUAGAAGAUCAGAUGAUAGCGAUCAGCUUAAAUCGUGGGGAUCGGCAGAUAAUAUACAGGUACUGUCUGCGUGUUAUUGUGUUUAAAAAUUAAAUUUUGUGUACAUGUCUAAUCAAAUGAUACAGUUAUAAUAAUUUUAGUAAAAACAAAUAUUAUGUCUAGGACAUUGUCAAUACAUAAUAUUUUCUGAAACAACGCCAUCUAUGAAUGUAGUAUAUGAUUAGUUCACGUGUCUUAAAUUUCAAAAUUAAUGGUCCAAACUGGCAUCGACAACUUAGUUUAUUCGUUUUCCGCUAGAUGUCUCUAUAUCAAAUUUCUAAACUUACGUAAUAUCCAAUAGAUGUCGCGACUGUUUCUUUUAACUUCGUUUUAACACAGUAAAACUACUUAAUAUACAAAACAGUGUUUGUUCGAACACUUAUAACUCGAGAACGGUAGGAUCGAUUUGAAUGAUUUAUAGAAUAGCAGAAUAACUAUUAAAACAUUGGUUGGUUGAAGAAUAACAUACGAUUCCAUCAUUUAAGGUUCAUUCCGUCGAUCCGGUAAACUCUUCCCUCAUCUGAACAUAUUUAAUUAAAGAUAGUGAUGAGAUAAUGACGUAUUUUAGAUGUAAAAAAUGUAGAAUAAUGUGAGUAAUGAAAGAUGAUCGAUAUACCUAUUUGGCUGACAAAUUUUGUAAUGUUGAGAAGCGCAAUUUGGUGAUAGGGAUUCGGCUUUCAACUAUUACGUCACGCAAUUUUUGGAGAUAAUUGAGCAACGAGCCGUAACGUUUUACUAUACCCAAGUGUAUAAUAAUUGUGUAAAUAUUAUUAUUCAGGCAGAAUACAGAUGUUAAUGAUAAUUGUCAUCAGACACUAUCAGCAUGUGGCAAACACAAACAUGUCAUGUAUUGAAACGUGUAUCGUGUUAUGGUGGGUGGCCAGGUAAGCGGUUAUUAAAAUAAGACGACAUUACUGUUAUUCAUAAACAUAUGUUCAGCCAUGACAGGCGGUCCGAGACAUACUACAGGAAACGGAAACCCAUAGAUAAUAUUAAAUCAUAGAUACGUAACAUCUCCCUUAUUAAGAAAAGAAAACAUGGCAUGAAGUGGAACAUAGUACGUACGUAAGUAUACACUUUUGUUUUUUUUUACAUUGACAAAAUUCUUACAUACUAUUAGACUGAAAUAAUGGUACGGAACAUUGACUUGACUGACAUUUUCAAUUUUGACAGUUCUCACAUUGACGUCUACUAAAUUGACAUAACUGUGUUUUGACAGCUACACAAAACAAAAUUAGGUUAAAGACAUUAAACAAUACAUUUACAAACUAAGUACAAAUUAUGAACUUAAUCUAGAUUCUAGACUAAUUACCAAAAUCUUCGGGGCUUUAUGAUAGCUCUGCCGAAUGAAGAAUAAGUUGUGUGAAAAAGAGGGGUUUCUUACGUUCGCGUAAAGAAGACGACAGAGGCGUUCAGUAACUCAGUAACUUCCUAGGCGUAGGUGCGACCAGGUCUUCAGCGUAUGUGCCGAAGUCUGCCCGAGAGAGGGAACUUGAUAGAAGAUCAGAUGAUAGCGAUCAGCUUAAAUCGUGGGGAUCGGCAGAUAAUAUACAGGUACUGUCUGCGUGUUAUUGUGUUUAAAAAUUAAAUUUUGUGUACAUGUCUAAUCAAAUGAUACAGUUAUAAUAAUUUUAGUAAAAACAAAUAUUAUGUCUAGGACAUUGUCAAUACAUAAUAUUUUCUGAAACAACGCCAUCUAUGAAUGUAGUAUAUGAUUAGUUCACGUGUCUUAAAUUUCAAAAUUAAUGGUCCAAACUGGCAUCGACAACUUAGUUUAUUCGUUUUCCGCUAGAUGUCUCUAUAUCAAAUUUCUAAACUUACGUAAUAUCCAAUAGAUGUCGCGACUGUUUCUUUUAACUUCGUUUUAACACAGUAAAACUACUUAAUAUACAAAACAGUGUUUGUUCGAACACUUAUAACUCGAGAACGGUAGGAUCGAUUUGAAUGAUUUAUAGAAUAGCAGAAUAACUAUUAAAACAUUGGUUGGUUGAAGAAUAACAUACGAUUCCAUCAUUUAAGGUUCAUUCCGUCGAUCCGGUAAACUCUUCCCUCAUCUGAACAUAUUUAAUUAAAGAUAGUGAUGAGAUAAUGACGUAUUUUAGAUGUAAAAAAUGUAGAAUAAUGUGAGUAAUGAAAGAUGAUCGAUAUACCUAUUUGGCUGACAAAUUUUGUAAUGUUGAGAAGCGCAAUUUGGUGAUAGGGAUUCGGCUUUCAACUAUUACGUCACGCAAUUUUUGGAGAUAAUUGAGCAACGAGCCGUAACGUUUUACUAUACCCAAGUGUAUAAUAAUUGUGUAAAUAUUAUUAUUCAGGCAGAAUACAGAUGUUAAUGAUAAUUGUCAUCAGACACUAUCAGCAUGUGGCAAACACAAACAUGUCAUGUAUUGAAACGUGUAUCGUGUUAUGGUGGGUGGCCAGGUAAGCGGUUAUUAAAAUAAGACGACAUUACUGUUAUUCAUAAACAUAUGUUCAGCCAUGACAGGCGGUCCGAGACAUACUACAGGAAACGGAAACCCAUAGAUAAUAUUAAAUCAUAGAUACGUAACAUCUCCCUUAUUAAGAAAAGAAAACAUGGCAUGAAGUGGAACAUAGUACGUACGUAAGUAUACACUUUUGUUUUUUUUUACAUUGACAAAAUUCUUACAUACUAUUAGACUGAAAUAAUGGUACGGAACAUUGACUUGACUGACAUUUUCAAUUUUGACAGUUCUCACAUUGACGUCUACUAAAUUGACAUAACUGUGUUUUGACAGCUACACAAAACAAAAUUAGGUUAAAGACAUUAAACAAUACAUUUACAAACUAAGUACAAAUUAUGAACUUAAUCUAGAUUCUAGACUAAUUACCAAAAUCUUCGGGGCUUUAUGAUAGCUCUGCCGAAUGAAGAAUAAGUUGUGUGAAAAAGAGGGGUUUCUUACGUUCGCGUAAAGAAGACGACAGAGGCGUUCAGUAACUCAGUAACUUCCUAGGCGUAGGUGCGACCAGGUCUUCAGCGUAUGUGCCGAAGUCUGCCCGAGAGAGGGAACUUGAUAGAAGAUCAGAUGAUAGCGAUCAGCUUAAAUCGUGGGGAUCGGCAGAUAAUAUACAGGUACUGUCUGCGUGUUAUUGUGUUUAAAAAUUAAAUUUUGUGUACAUGUCUAAUCAAAUGAUACAGUUAUAAUAAUUUUAGUAAAAACAAAUAUUAUGUCUAGGACAUUGUCAAUACAUAAUAUUUUCUGAAACAACGCCAUCUAUGAAUGUAGUAUAUGAUUAGUUCACGUGUCUUAAAUUUCAAAAUUAAUGGUCCAAACUGGCAUCGACAACUUAGUUUAUUCGUUUUCCGCUAGAUGUCUCUAUAUCAAAUUUCUAAACUUACGUAAUAUCCAAUAGAUGUCGCGACUGUUUCUUUUAACUUCGUUUUAACACAGUAAAACUACUUAAUAUACAAAACAGUGUUUGUUCGAACACUUAUAACUCGAGAACGGUAGGAUCGAUUUGAAUGAUUUAUAGAAUAGCAGAAUAACUAUUAAAACAUUGGUUGGUUGAAGAAUAACAUACGAUUCCAUCAUUUAAGGUUCAUUCCGUCGAUCCGGUAAACUCUUCCCUCAUCUGAACAUAUUUAAUUAAAGAUAGUGAUGAGAUAAUGACGUAUUUUAGAUGUAAAAAAUGUAGAAUAAUGUGAGUAAUGAAAGAUGAUCGAUAUACCUAUUUGGCUGACAAAUUUUGUAAUGUUGAGAAGCGCAAUUUGGUGAUAGGGAUUCGGCUUUCAACUAUUACGUCACGCAAUUUUUGGAGAUAAUUGAGCAACGAGCCGUAACGUUUUACUAUACCCAAGUGUAUAAUAAUUGUGUAAAUAUUAUUAUUCAGGCAGAAUACAGAUGUUAAUGAUAAUUGUCAUCAGACACUAUCAGCAUGUGGCAAACACAAACAUGUCAUGUAUUGAAACGUGUAUCGUGUUAUGGUGGGUGGCCAGGUAAGCGGUUAUUAAAAUAAGACGACAUUACUGUUAUUCAUAAACAUAUGUUCAGCCAUGACAGGCGGUCCGAGACAUACUACAGGAAACGGAAACCCAUAGAUAAUAUUAAAUCAUAGAUACGUAACAUCUCCCUAAUUAAGAAAAGAAAACAUGGCAUGAAGUGGAACAUAGUACGUACGUAAGUAUACACUUUUGUUUUUUUUUACAUUGACAAAAUUCUUACAUACUAUUAGACUGAAAUAAUGGUACGGAACAUUGACUUGACUGACAUUUUCAAUUUUGACAGUUCUCACAUUGACGUCUACUAAAUUGACAUAACUGUGUUUUGACAGCUACACAAAACAAAAUUAGGUUAAAGACAUUAAACAAUACAUUUACAAACUAAGUACAAAUUAUGAACUUAAUCUAGAUUCUAGACUAAUUACCAAAAUCUUCGGGGCUUUAUGAUAGCUCUGCCGAAUGAAGAAUAAGUUGUGUGAAAAAGAGGGGUUUCUUACGUUCGCGUAAAGAAGACGACAGAGGCGUUCAGUAACUCAGUAACUUCCUAGGCGUAGGUGCGACCAGGUCUUCAGCGUAUGUGCCGAAGUCUGCCCGAGAGAGGGAACUUGAUAGAAGAUCAGAUGAUAGCGAUCAGCUUAAAUCGUGGGGAUCGGCAGAUAAUAUACAGGUACUGUCUGCGUGUUAUUGUGUUUAAAAAUUAAAUUUUGUGUACAUGUCUAAUCAAAUGAUACAGUUAUAAUAAUUUUAGUAAAAACAAAUAUUAUGUCUAGGACAUUGUCAAUACAUAAUAUUUUCUGAAACAACGCCAUCUAUGAAUGUAGUAUAUGAUUAGUUCACGUGUCUUAAAUUUCAAAAUUAAUGGUCCAAACUGGCAUCGACAACUUAGUUUAUUCGUUUUCCGCUAGAUGUCUCUAUAUCAAAUUUCUAAACUUACGUAAUAUCCAAUAGAUGUCGCGACUGUUUCUUUUAACUUCGUUUUAACACAGUAAAACUACUUAAUAUACAAAACAGUGUUUGUUCGAACACUUAUAACUCGAGAACGGUAGGAUCGAUUUGAAUGAUUUAUAGAAUAGCAGAAUAACUAUUAAAACAUUGGUUGGUUGAAGAAUAACAUACGAUUCCAUCAUUUAAGGUUCAUUCCGUCGAUCCGGUAAACUCUUCCCUCAUCUGAACAUAUUUAAUUAAAGAUAGUGAUGAGAUAAUGACGUAUUUUAGAUGUAAAAAAUGUAGAAUAAUGUGAGUAAUGAAAGAUGAUCGAUAUACCUAUUUGGCUGACAAAUUUUGUAAUGUUGAGAAGCGCAAUUUGGUGAUAGGGAUUCGGCUUUCAACUAUUACGUCACGCAAUUUUUGGAGAUAAUUGAGCAACGCGCCGUAACGUUUUACUAUACCCAAGUGUAUAAUAAUUGUGUAAAUAUUAUUAUUCAGGCAGAAUGCAGAUGUUAAUGAUAAUUGUCAUCAGACACUAUCAGCAUGUGGCAAACACAAACAUGUCAUGUAUUGAAACGUGUAUCGUGUUAUGGUGGGUGGCCAGGUAAGCGGUUAUUAAAAUAAGACGACAUUACUGUUAUUCAUAAACAUAUAUUCAGCCAUGACAGGCGGUCCGAGACAUACUACAGGAAACGGAAACCCAUAGAUAAUAUUAAAUCAUAGAUACGUAACAUCUCCCUUAUUAAGAAAAGAAAACAUGGCAUGAAGUGGAACAUAGUACGUACGUAAGUAUACACUUUUGUUUUUUUUUACAUUGACAAAAUUCUUACAUACUAUUAGACUGAAAUAAUGGUACGGAACAUUGACUUGACUGACAUUUUCAAUUUUGACAGUUCUCACAUUGACGUCUACUAAAUUGACAUAACUGUGUUUUGACAGCUACACAAAACAAAAUUAGGUUAAAGACAUUAAACAAUACAUUUACAAACUAAGUACAAAUUAUGAACUUAAUCUAGAUUCUAGACUAAUUACCAAAAUCUUCGGGGCUUUAUGAUAGCUCUGCCGAAUGAAGAAUAAGUUGUGUGAAAAAGAGGGGUUUCUUACGUUCGCGUAAAGAAGACGACAGAGGCGUUCAGUAACUCAGUAACUUCCUAGGCGUAGGUGCGACCAGGUCUUCAGCGUAUGUGCCGAAGUCUGCCCGAGAGAGGGAACUUGAUAGAAGAUCAGAUGAUAGCGAUCAGCUUAAAUCGUGGGGAUCGGCAGAUAAUAUACAGGUACUGUCUGCGUGUUAUUGUGUUUAAAAAUUAAAUUUUGUGUACAUGUCUAAUCAAAUGAUACAGUUAUAAUAAUUUUAGUAAAAACAAAUAUUAUGUCUAGGACAUUGUCAAUACAUAAUAUUUUCUGAAACAACGCCAUCUAUGAAUGUAGUAUAUGAUUAGUUCACGUGUCUUAAAUUUCAAAAUUAAUGGUCCACACUGGCAUCGACAACUUAGUUUAUUCGUUUUCCGCUAGAUGUCUCUAUAUCAAAUUUCUAAACUUACGUAAUAUCCAAUAGAUGUCGCGACUGUUUCUUUUAACUUCGUUUUAACACAGUAAAACUACUUAAUAUACAAAACAGUGUUUGUUCGAACACUUAUAACUCGAGAACGGUAGGAUCGAUUUGAAUGAUUUAUAGAAUAGCAGAAUAACUAUUAAAACAUUGGUUGGUUGAAGAAUAACAUACGAUUCCAUCAUUUAAGGUUCAUUCCGUCGAUCCGGUAAACUCUUCCCUCAUCUGAACAUAUUUAAUUAAAGAUAGUGAUGAGAUAAUGACGUAUUUUAGAUGUAAAAAAUGUAGAAUAAUGUGAGUAAUGAAAGAUGAUCGAUAUACCUAUUUGGCUGACAAAUUUUGUAAUGUUGAGAAGCGCAAUUUGGUGAUAGGGAUUCGGCUUUCAACUAUUACGUCACGCAAUUUUUGGAGAUAAUUGAGCAACGCGCCGUAACGUUUUACUAUACCCAAGUGUAUAAUAAUUGUGUAAAUAUUAUUAUUCAGGCAGAAUGCAGAUGUUAAUGAUAAUUGUCAUCAGACACUAUCAGCAUGUGGCAAACACAAACAUGUCAUGUAUUGAAACGUGUAUCGUGUUAUGGUGGGUGGCCAGGUAAGCGGUUAUUAAAAUAAGACGACAUUACUGUUAUUCAUAAACAUAUAUUCAGCCAUGACAGGCGGUCCGAGACAUACUACAGGAAACGGAAACCCAUAGAUAAUAUUAAAUCAUAGAUACGUAACAUCUCCCUUAUUAAGAAAAGAAAACAUGGCAUGAAGUGGAACAUAGUACGUACGUAAGUAUACACUUUAGUUUUUUUUUACAUUGACAAAAUUCUUACAUACUAUUAGACUGAAAUAAUGGUACGGAACAUUGACUUGACUGACAUUUUCAAUUUUGACAGUUCUCACAUUGACGUCUACUAAAUUGACAUAACUGUGUUUUGACAGCUACACAAAACAAAAUUAGGUUAAAGACAUUAAACAAUACAUUUACAAACUAAGUACAAAUUAUGAACUUAAUCUAGAUUCUAGACUAAUUACCAAAAUCUUCGGGGCUUUAUGAUAGCUCUGCCGAAUGAAGAAUAAGUUGUGUG